rnacentral:rRNA from 1 species
GACGGUACUCUAGGAAUAAGGAYCGGCUAACUACGUGCCAGCAGGCCGCGGUAAGACGUAGGGUCCGAGCGUUGUCCGGAGUUACUGGGCGUAAAGCGUGCGCAGGCGGUUUCGUAAGUCGGGUGUGAAAGCCCCCCGCUCAACGGGGGAGGGUCAUUCGAAACGGCAGGAACUAGAGGCAGGGAGAGGUCGGUGGAAUUCCCGGUGUAGCUGGUGAAAUGCGUAGAUAUCGGGAGGAACACCAGUGGCGAAGGCG